GAUGAACGCUGGCGGCGUGCCUAAUACAUGCAAGUCGAGCGAACAGAUGAGGAGCUUGCUCCUCUGACGUUAGCGGCGGACGGGUGAGUAACACGUGGAUAACCUACCUAUAAGACUGGGAUAACUUCGGGAAACCGGAGCUAAUACCGGAUAAUAUAUUGAACCGCAUGGUUCAAUAGUGAAAGACGGUUUUGCUUUCACUUAUAGAUGGAUCCGCGCCGCAUUAGCUAGUUGGUAAGGUAACGGCUUACCAAGGCAACGAUGCGUAGCCGACCUGAGAGGGUGAUCGGCCACCCUGGAACUGAGAAACGGCCCCGACACCUACGGGAGGCAGCAGUAGGGAAUCUUACGCGAUGGGCGAGAGCCUGACGGAGCAACGCCGCGUGAGUGAUGAAGGUCUUAGGAUCGUAAAACUCUGUUAUUAGGGAAGAACAAAUGUGUAAGUAACUAUGCACGUAUUGACGGUACCUAAUCAGAAAGCCACGGCUAACUACGUG
rnacentral:rRNA from 1 species